UACGAAGGGGGCUAGCGUUGCUCGGAAUCACUGGGCGUAAAGCGCACGUAGGCGGCUUUUUAAGUCAGGGGUGAAAUCCUGGAGCUCAACUCCAGAACUGCCUUUGAUACUGAGAAGCUUGAGUCCGGGAGAGGUGAGUGGAACUGCGAGUGUAGAGGUGAAAUUCGUAGAUAUUCGCAAGAACACCCGUGGCGAAGGCGGCACUCUGGGACGGUACUGACGCUGAGACGCGAAAGCGUGGGGAGCGAACAGG
rnacentral:rRNA from 1 species